rnacentral:rRNA from 1 species
UAACACGUGGGUAACCUGCCUGUAAGACUGGGAUAACUCCGGGAAACCGGAGCUAAUACCGGAUAGUUCCUUGAACCGCAUGGUUCAAGGAUGAAAGACGGUUUCGGCUGUCACUUACAGAUGGACCCGCGGCGCAUUAGCUAGUUGGUGAGGUAACGGCUCACCAAGGCGACGAUGCGUAGCCGACCUGAGAGGGUGAUCGGCCACACUGGGACUGAGACACGGCCCAGACUCCUACGGGAGGCAGCAGUAGGGAAUCUUCCGCAAUGGACGAAAGUCUGACGGAGCAACGCCGCGUGAGUGAUGAAGGUUUUCGGAUCGUAAAGCUCUGUUGUUAGGGAAGAACAAGUGCAAGAGUAACUGCUUGCACCUUGACGGUACCUAACCAGAAAGCCACGGCUAACUACGUGCCCCGGGCGCGGGUAGGGGCGUAAGUGGCAAGCGUUGUCCGGAAUUAUUGGGCGUAAAGGGUUCGCAGGCCCUUCCCUUAACUCUUGAUGUUAAGGCCCCUGGG